rnacentral:rRNA from 1 species
GACGAACGCUGGCGGCGUGCUUUACACAUGCAAGUCGAACGGUGAAGGUGGAGCUUGCUCCGCCGGAUCAGUGGCGAACGGGUGAGUAACACGUGGGCAACCUGCCCCUAACUUUGGGAUAACUACUCGAAAGAGUAGCUAAUACCGGAUACGAAGUCUGUAGGCAUCUACGGAUUUGGAAAGUUUUUCGGGUAGGGAGGGGCCCGCGGCCUAUCAGCUUGUUGGUGUGGUAGUGGCUCACCAAGGCGACGACGGGUAGCCGGGCUGAGAGGGGGACCGGCCACACUGGGACUGAGACACGGCCCAGCCUCCUACGGGAGGCAGCAGUGGGGAAUAUUGCGCAAUGGGCGAAAGCCUGACGCAGCAACGCCGCGUGCGGGAUGAAGGCCUUCGGGUUGUAAACCGCUUUCAGCAGGGAAGAAGCGAAAGUGACGGUACCUGCAGAAGAAGCACCGGCUAACUACGUGCCAGCAGCCGCGGUAAGAC